rnacentral:lncRNA from 1 species
AGGUUAGCUUUCUUCUCAUGGAGAAACCUGUCAGGUGUCCACAAACACCAGCUUUUCCAAAUUGCCAGUUUUGUUUUUUUUUUUUUUCCCCAGGUGUGCCCUUUGAGAGACUGGCUUAGGUGUGAAGGUGUCCCAGGCUCCAGGCUGAGUGGGUCCUGGGUUUGGAGCCUAGGCCAUGUGUCCACACUAGAGGGCACCAGGCUGGGUGAGAAGGACUUCCUCCUCCAUGGGAGGAGUGGGGAAUGGAGAGCUGGGCAGUGGCAUUUGGGAGGACGAGUAAGAGACAAUCGGGCCAUCUCUGCCAUUGACCUUGACUGCAGCUGCUGCCAAAACUAGAGACCUCUGCGUGAGCCCAGCACCCUGGCAUUCAGUCAGGGUGUUGGUGACACAAGAAUUCUGGGUAAACAGAGGGGGCUGGUUUCUGGCUUCAGUUUCUGGGAUUCUGGAAAUGAGAAACUGCUGAGAAAGCCAGACAGGGACUCAGUGAGAGUGGAUUAAAAUCUUGGGAUCAGCCCUGCCUGCUCAUGGCGGAGUAGCCUUGGCUACUGGUACAGCAUGGCCUCUAUACCUGUGCCUCAGUUUCCUUGUUAGUUUUUUUGUUGUUGUUGUUGUUACUGGGUAUUGAGCCCAGGUGUGCUUAACCACCGAGCCACUUCCCCAGCUGCUUUUUAUAUUUUACUUAGAGACAGGGUUUCACUGAGUUGCUUAGCGCCUCACUAAUUUGCUAAGGCUGGCUUUGAACUUUUUUUUUUUUAAGAGAGAGAGAGAGAGGAGAGAGAGUUUUUUAAUAUUUAUUUUUCAGUUUUCGGUGGACACCACAUCUUUAUUUUAUUUGUAUGUGGUGCUGAGGACUGAACCCAGCGCCCCGCGCAUGCCAGGCGAGUGCUAUCGCUUGAGCCACAUCCCCAGCCCAUGGCUUUGAACUCUUGAUCCUCCUGCCUCAGCCCUCCGGCCGCUGGGAUGACAGGAGUGGGCCACCACACCAGCCUCCUUGUCAGUUAAAAGGGAAAAUCCAUACCUACCUCAGGGGGUUGUUAAAAGGAUAAAGGGACCUGAGACCCUUAGCACCCUAAGGGCACAUUGAAAUCUUUCCAAAAAGCCGGCUUCUGGGUGCAUCAGAAGAGAGAUGUGGUGUGGAGAGGUCAGACCUCCUGACCCUGAGUCCUCCUGGUCACUUCCUGUGCCUCACUAGACCCCUGAGUCAAACUGCUGGAGGCCCAAGGGUGAGUGUCUUUCCUGUCCCUGUCGAUUCUACUCCUGGACUCCCUUCUCAGGCUUUCCAUGUUAUGGUUUUAAGUAUUUCUGCAAACUUGUUUACUGCUCCCUUCUUCAGAAAGGGAGCCUAUUCCCCUCCCCUCGACGGUGAGCCAGACUUGGUCCCUCAAUUCUAAAGAGAGGAUGUGGUAGAAGGCUGCCAUGUGACCUCAAGGUUGGGUCCUUAGAGACAGCCACUGCCUCCCCCUUUCUCUUGCUGCCCGACUGACACCUGCGCUGUGCCCUCCUGAGAGGCCUGAGUCAGAGCUGCCUGGCUGUGCUUCUCUUGGAUGCCUGAGGGGCAGACUAGGCUGAUUGGGUUUGUUUCCAUUGUGCAUGUUUUUAUUAUUGUGCUGUCUAUGAAUACGCAGGCUAGAUAACCCAGCCCAUCUCCUUGGAGUUCACUGACCUGUGUGUCUCUUGUCCCCUGCAAAGGCAGCGACACCUGGCAGGUCAGGAGCAAAACCCCAAAGAGAAAAAAAUGUUGGCUCCCUGAGAAGAGCUAAGCGAAACUCUGAAGCCACCCAUGGCUCAGCGGAGAGGUCAGUGGGGACAUUGGCAUCAGCAAGCAACCGCCUUGCCUCAAAGGACAGGGAGGGCCCUGGGACCCUGAACACAGCCGGCGAGCAGCCACAGCAGGCCUGGUUUCUGGAAGGGUCUCCACUGAGUGGCUGUUCUACCAUCAGCUGUCCUCUCUUCACAGAGAAAAAGCAUGGCCCCAGCCUGGUCUGAGCAAAGCAGUGUGCCGAGGGAGG